GCUGAAGUGUUGCAGAAAACUGAUGCGUCACCUAGUGCCUUUUAUGAGAGACUGCUUGAGUCAUACAGAUUGUACACUCCUUUCAAUCCUGAAGCCUCUGAAAACUCCCGAAUGAUUAAUUCAGCCUUUGUCAGCCAGGCCCAGAGUGAUAUUAAAUGAAAGUUACAAAAGUUAGAGGGAUUUGCAGGGAUGUCCAUAUCACAGUUAAUGGAGGUUGCAAAUAAGGUGAGGUAGGUAUUAUCCCCCUACCCAGAGAUAAAGCGAUAGGGAAGAUAGAGAUUUUGUGGGUCUGGCUGAUACAGUCAUGGAGGACUAUUGAUACUGACCGGGCUCCAUCCCCGUUGGCCAAGUGGAG